AGGACGAACGCUGGCGGCGUGCCUAACACAUGCAAGUUGAGCGACGAACCAGGGCUUGCCCUGGGGCAAAGCAGCGAACGGGUGAGUAACACGUGGGUAACCUGCCCCGAUAACCGGGACAACCCGAGGAAACUCGGGCUAAGUACCGGAUGUGCUCGCCGGACUUCAGUCCGGCGCGUAAAGGAAGCGUUCGGCCUCCGUAUCGGGAGGGGCCCGUGGCCCAUUAGUUAGUUGGUGAGGUAACGGCUCACCAAGACCGCGAUGGGUAGCUGGUCUGAGAGGACGAUCAGCCACACUGGGACUGAGACACGGCCCAGACUCCUACGGGAGCAGCAGUGGGAAUCUUGCGCAAUGCGCGAAAGCGUGACGCAGCAACGCCGCGUGAGGGAAGACGGCCU
rnacentral:rRNA from 1 species